rnacentral:rRNA from 1 species
AUUGAACGCUGGCGGCAGGCCUAACACAUGCAAGUCGAGCGGUAGCACAGAAGAGCUUGCUCUUUGGGUGACGAGCGGCGGACGGGUGAGUAAUGUCUGGGAAACUGCCUGAUGGAGGGGGAUAACUACUGGAAACGGUAGCUAAUACCGCAUAACCUCGCAAGAGCAAAGAGGGGGACCUUUGGGCCUCUCGCCAUCAGAUGUGCCCAGAUGGGAUUAGCUAGUAGGUGAGGUAAUGGCUCACCUAGGCGACGAUCCCUAGCUGGUCUGAGAGGAUGACCAGCCACACUGGAACUGAGACACGGUCCAGACGCCUACGGGAGGCAGCAGUGGGGAAUAUUGCACAAUGGGCGCAAGCCUGAUGCAGCCAUGCCGCGUGUGUGAAGAAGGCCUUCGGGUUGUAAAGCACUUUCAGCGGGGAGGAAGGCGGUAAGGUUAAUAACCUUAUCGAUUGACGUUACCCGCAGAAGAAGCACCGGCUAACUCCGUGCCAGCAGCCGCAGUAA